rnacentral:rRNA from 1 species
GGCGGACGGGUGAGUAACACGUGGGCAACCUGCCUGUAAGACUGGGAUAACUCCGGGAAACCGGGGCUAAUACCGGAUAAUAUCUAUUUAUACAUAUAAUUAGAUUGAAAGAUGGUUCUGCUAUCACUUACAGAUGGGCCCGCGGCGCAUUAGCUAGUUGGUGAGGUAACGGCUCACCAAGGCGACGAUGCGUAGCCGACCUGAGAGGGUGAUCGGCCACACUGGGACUGAGACACGGCCCAGACUCCUACGGGAGGCAGCAGUAGGGAAUCUUCCGCAAUGGACGAAAGUCUGACGGAGCAACGCCGCGUGAGUGAUGAAGGUUUUCGGAUCGUAAAACUCUGUUGUUAGGGAAGAACAAGUAUCGGAGUAACUGCCGGUACCUUGACGGUACCUAACCAGAAAGCCACGGCUAACUACGUGCCAGCAACCGCGGUAAUACGUAGGUGGCAAGCGUUGUCCGGAAUUAUUGGGCGUAAAGCGCGCGCAGGCGGUUCCUUAAGUCUGAUGUGAAAGCCCACGGUUCAACCGUGGAGGGUCAUUGGAC